CUGACUCUCUCCUGUUUUUACAGAAAUGAGGAUCAUCACACACGUGUCUCUGUCAAUCAAUGAAUCAACUGAGUUUGAUUUUUGUGAAGC